AACCCCGCCUUACCCAAAAAUUAGAUUGAAGUCGUGUAAACAUAAACAAAAACCCAGACAUGAUUUCUCCUCGCUCCUAACCAUGAACCCUAUCCCCAAAUCGUUCCCUUGAAAGCGAUAUUGCAGAGUACCCUACCCCUAAAUCGAAACUCCAUCAUAAUCGAAGGCAAAACGUGACCACGAAGCUUGGAUUUGUGAAGAUUGACUGUUCAAACGUUGACAUGGAUUGAAGAAAUAGGGGAAAGAAAAAGGGAAUUUCUUACUGUUAUAGAUAGUCGGGACACCAACUGCGGGACUGCCAAAAAAAGUAGUGAUGUCGAAAUUGUGCUUCAGGCUUUCUGAAAUGGAUGGAAGUAGAAAAGAAGACCGAAAACAUAGAAAUCCAUAUGCAAGGGAAAAGGAGCUAUGGAAGAGAACGGGAAAAAAAAAAUUGAAGGGAUUUGUGAAUGUAGUCUGUCUAUGUACUUGGUGAGAAUUAGUUUUUUAUUUCAUGUCCAUGUAAAAAGUAGUAGACUUCAAGUUGAACUGUUUCAUUUUUUGUUUUUUUUAUUGAUUUUGACAUUUUAGUUGUUGCUAGCCUUAAUACAAUGAAUUGUGUUACAAAAAUGUUACACGGUUGUCGAGCAUGUUGAAAUGUCGACAUUUUAUUUGCCUU